rnacentral:rRNA from 1 species
GGGGAGCGAAGCUGAGAAUUUAAGCCCCAGUAAACGGCGGUGGUAACUAUAACCAUCCUAAGGUAGCGAAAUUCCUUGUCGGGUAAGUUCCGACCUGCACGAAUGGCGUAACGACUUCUCUGCUGUCUCAACCACAGACUCGGCGAAAUUGCAGUACGAGUAAAGAUGCUCGUUACGCGCGGCAGGACGAAAAGACCCCGGGACCUUCACUAUAGCUUGGUAUUGGUGUUCGGUUCGGUUUGUGUAGGAUAGGUGGGAGACUGUGAAGUGGGCACGCCAGUGUUCAUGGAGUCGUUGUUGAAAUACCACUCUGAUCGUAUUGGACAUCUAACCUCGGACCAUGAUCUGGUUCAGGGACAGUGCCUGGUGGGUAGUUUAACUGGGGCGGUUGCCUCCCAAAAAGUAACGGAGGCGCCCAAAGGUUCCCUCAGCCUGGUUGGCAAUCAGGUGUUGAGUGUAAGUGCACAAGGGAGCUUGACUGUGAGACGUACAUGUCGAGCAGGGACGAAAGUCGGGACUAGUGAUCCGGCACCAACGUGUGGAAGUGGUGUCGCUCAACGGAUAAAAGGUACCCCGGGGAUAACAGGCUGAUCUUCCCCAAGAGUCCAUAUCGACGGGAUGGUUUGGCACCUCGAUGUCGGCUCGUCGCAUCCUGGGGCUGGAGUAGGUCCCAAGGGUUGGGCUGUUCGCCCAUUAAAGCGGCACGCGAGCUGGGUUUAGAACGUCGUGAGACAGUUCGGUCUCUAUCCGCCGCGCGCGUUAGAAACUUGAGGAAACCUGUCCCUAGUACGAGAGGACCGGGACGGACGAACCUCUGGUGUGCCAGUUGUUCCACCAGGAGCACCGCUGGUUAGCUACGUUCGGAAGGGAUAACCGCUGAAAGCAUCUAAGCGGGAAGCCCGUUCCAAGAUGAGGUUUCUCACCACCAUUGAGUGGGUAAGACCCCCUACAGACCAUAGGGUUGAUAGGCCAGAACUGUAAGCACAGCAAUGUGUUCAGGUGACUGGUACUAAUCGGUCGAGGACUUACCAAC